AUGUAUCCACAAGUCAUGACAGAAAAUGAAGAGAUAAUCAUGAAUGUGACCACCCCAGAUGAGGCAGGGGAGAAGAAGGCACCCGUCACGGAGGAGGCUUCCCCAGAGAAAGAACGGCAAUCAUCUAGACUAGUGUUAGGACUCGGCAUUUUCUUUGGGAUGCUCCUUAUUACUGCCAUCAUUAUUUGUUACUGUCUAUGGCAAAAGUCAAGAAUUUGCAGUGAUCGUUUAAUGAGGUUUCACCCACUCCCUGUGAGAGUCUGCCAGUGGAUGACAUCCUUAAUCCUUUUAGGAUAUACAUAUUUUCCUAAUACCUUGAUUAUAUUCCAGUCCUGGCCAAAGCCAGCCUCUUCUGGAGUAAUGCUGGUCCCCAGUUUGCAAUGCUAUCCCUUUCUGAGAUACUUUUCUGUCAUCAUGGGGUUCUGCACCAGCAAAUGACAGUCCACCUGAAA
rnacentral:lncRNA from 1 species